CCUACGGGUGGCAGCAGUCGAGAAUCAUUCACAAUGGGGGAAACCCUGAUGGUGCGACGCCGCGUGGGGGAAUGAAGGUCUUCGGAUUGUAAACCCCUGUCAUGUGGGAGCAAAUUAAAAAGAUAGUACCACAAGAGGAAGAGACGGCUAACUCUGUGCCAGCAGCCGCGGUAAUACAGAGGUCUCAAGCGUUGUUCGGAAUCACUGGGCGUAAAGCGUGCGUAGGCUGUUUCGUAAGUCGUGUGUGAAAGGCGCGGGCUCAACCCGCGGACGGCACAUGAUACUGCGAGACUAGAGUAAGGGAGGGGGAACCGGAAUUCUCGGUGUAGCAGUGAAAUGCGUAGAUAUCGAGAGGAACACCCGUGGCGAAGGCGGGUUCCUGGACAUUAACUGACGCUGAGGCACGAAGGCCAGGGGAGCGAAAGGGAUUAGAUACCCCUAGUAGUC
rnacentral:rRNA from 1 species